GAUGAACGCUGGCGGCGUGCCUAAUACAUGCAAGUCGAGCGAACAGACGAGGAGCUUGCUCCUCUGACGUUAGCGGCGGACGGGUGAGUAACACGUGGAUAACCUACCUAUAAGACUGGGAUAACAUCGGGAAACCGGAGCUAAUACCGCAUAAUAUAUUGAACCGUAUGGUUCAAUAGUGAAAGACGGUUUUGCUGUCACUUAUAGAUGUAUCCGCGCCGCAUUAGCUAGUUGGUAAGGUAACGGCUUACCAAGGCAACGAUGCGUAGCCGACCUGAGAGGGUGAUCGGCCACACUGGAACUGGAACACGGUCCAGACUCCUACGGGAGGCAGCAGUAGGGAAUCUUCCGCAAUGGGCGAAAGCUUGACGGAGCAACGCCGCGUGGGUGAUGAAGGUCUUCGGAUCGUAAAACCCUGUUAUUAGGGAAGAACAAAUGUGUAAGUAACUAUGCACGUCUUGACGGUACCUAAUCAGAAAGCCACGGCUAACUACGUG
rnacentral:rRNA from 1 species